GUCUACAGCUAUGCUAUCCUGAACAAGCCCGAUCCCAUCUGAUCUCAGAAGCUAAGCAGGGUCAGGCCUGGGUAGUACUUGGAUGGGAGACCACCUAGGAAGACCAGGUGCUGUAGGUG
rnacentral:rRNA from 1 species